rnacentral:rRNA from 1 species
UACAGAGGGUGCAAGCGUUAAUCGGAAUUACUGGGCGUAAAGGGCUCGUAGGCGGCCAACUAAGUCAGACGUGAAAUCCCUCGGCUUAACCGGGGAACUGCGUCUGAUACUGGAUGGCCCGAGUUUGGGAGAGGGAUGCGGAAUUCCAGGUGUAGCGGUGAAAUGCGUAGAGAUGUGGAGGAACACCAGUGGCGAAGGCGGCUUUUUGGUCUGUAACUGACGCUGAGGCAUGAAAGCGUGGGGAGCAAACAGG